AUUGAACGCUGGCGGCAUGCCUUACACAUGCCAGUCGAACGGCAGCACGGGUGCUUGCACCUGGUGGCGAGUGGCGCACGGGUGAGUAAUACAUCGGAACAUGUCCUGUAGUGGGGGAUAGCCCGGCGAAAGCCGGAUUAAUACCGCAUACGAUCUACGGAUGAAAGAGGGGGACCUUCGGGCCUCGCGCUAUAGGGUUGGCCGAUGGCUGAUUAGCUAGUUGGUGGGGUAAAGGCCUACCAAGGCGAAGAUCAGGAGCUGGUCUGAGAGGACGAUCAGCCAGCCUGGGACUGAGGCACGGCCCAGACUCCUACGGGAAGCAGCAGUGGGGAAUUUUGGACAAUGGGCGAGAGCCUGAUCCAGCAAUGCCGCGUGUGUGAAGAAGGCCUUCGGGUUGUAAAGCACUUUUGUCCGGAAAGAAAUCCUUGGCCAUAAGACGGUCGGGGGAUGACGGUACCGGAAGAAUAAGCACCGGCUAACUACGUG
rnacentral:rRNA from 1 species